UCGGUAGAGUUAGCUCAAACUUUGGUGAUUUCGUAAAGCUCCCAUAGAAAUUCCUAACGUUUAUUUUACUGAAAACAAUUUCCAUCCUUAAUGCGCACCUGAUUUAAUUUAUAUGAUGGAUAUAUAUAGAAGAUAAAUCUAUACUAUUGUUUCUUUAAUUUUGUAAUAAUGGAAUACAUAUUGCUUAUAUUUUUCUUAGGACAGUUAAUAUUACAGAGUAUAUCAGGGUGGCAAGUUGAAAAGGAACAUGUUUUCGAAUUCGGAAAAGACAAUCCCAACAGUUUCGUGGUUCUGGAAACUCAAGGCAUGAUGGAGAAUUGGGUGAAGAUUCAACAAUACAAUAUCAAGGUGCCUUCUUCAUGUGAAUACAUCAAUUAUGUAAAAGUAGUAGUGGUUAACCCAGCAGCUAGGCCGAUAGUGAAAGCCAACAAAUACAAUCUUCGGGGAGUCCUCAUUAAGUAUAACGACACACAAACAAGCUUAUCGAAACACACAAUAAUUUACAAAGCUAUAGACUUUUGUACAAAACUCAGUGGUAUAUUUAAAAUAUUUCCACAUUAA